UAGGGAAUCCUCCUCAAUGGGCGAAAGCCUGACGGAGCAACGCCGCGUGAGUGAUGAAGGUCUUCGGAUCGUAAAACUCUGUUAUUAGGGAAGAACAUAUGUGUAAGUAACUGUGCACAUCUUGACGGUACCUAAUCAGAAAGCCACGGCUAACUACGUGCCAGCAGCCGCGGUAAUACGUAGGUGGCAAGCGUUAUCCGGAAUUAUUGGGCGUAAAGCGCGCGUAGGCGGUUUUUUAAGUCUGAUGUGAAAGCCCACGGCUCAACCGUGGAGGGUCAUUGGAAACUGGAAAACUUGAGUGCAGAAGAGGAAAGUGGAAUUCCAUGUGUACCGGUGAAAUGCGCAGAGAUAUGGAGGAACACCAGUGGCGAAGGCGACUUUCUGGUCUGUAACUGACGCUGAUGUGCGAAAGCGUGGGGAUCAAACAGGAUUAGAUACCCUGGUAGUCCACGCCGUAAACGAUGAGUGCUAAGUGUUAGGGGGUUUCCGCCCCUUAGUGCUGCAGCUAACGCAUUAAGCACUCCGCCUGGGGGAGUACGACCGCAGGGUUGA
rnacentral:rRNA from 1 species